GUCGUACAGGUCUCCGUAGGUGAACCUGCGGAGGGAUCAUUACACAAAUAUGAAGGCGGGCUGGAACCUCUCGGGGUUACAGCCUUGCUGAAUUAUUCACCCUUGUCUUUUGCGUACUUCUUGUUUCCUUGGUGGGUUCGCCCACCACUAGGACAAACAUAAACCUUUUGUAAUUGCAAUCAGCGUCAGUAACAAAUUAAUAAUUACAACUUUCAACAACGGAUCUCUUGGUUCUGGCAUCGAUGAAGAACGCAGCGAAAUGCGAUAAGUAGUGAGAAUUGCAGAAUUCAGUGAAUCAUCGAAUCUUUGAACGCACAUUGCGCCCUUUGGUAUUCCAAAGGGCAUGCCUGUUCGAGCGUCAUUUGUACCCUCAAGCUUUGCUUGGUGUUGGGCGUCUUGUCUCUAGCUUUGCUGGAGACUCGCCUUAAAGUAAUUGGCAGCCGGCCUACUGGUUUCGGAGCGCAGCACAAGUCGCACUCUCUAUCAGCAAAGGUCUAGCAUCCAUUAAGCCUUUUUUUCAACUUUUGACCUCGGAUCAGGUAGGGAUACCCGCUGAACUUAAGCAUAUC
rnacentral:rRNA from 1 species